UCUCACAGUAUCAUUUAUACCAUGGAACAAAAAAAAAGCUUUUACACCAUGGAUUAUGCAUUUUCAUUAUUCUUGAGGCAGUUAAGGUUAGAAAGACAAAUGAAAUAGGUAGGAAUGUAACACAUAUGGCUAAACUACUCGGCAUUGAUACAGUGCAUGAAUACAUAAACAUAGUAAUAAAAGGUUUCAGUGCGAAUAUGGUGUAUAAGAAAGCACUAGACUGAUCUCAAUGAGACAAUAUUUUCCUUUAUGAUGUUAUCUGUUCAUCAAAACACUAUUCUAUAUUAGAAAGCUUCCUACAUAAUCAACAUUGUAACAAGAGGACUGAGAGAGAUCCUUCCUGUAUUCUUUCCUUUUCUCACACAUGAUUAAGCUUGUCAGGCUUCUGCAUCAGUCAGUGGCAAGUUCAACACACCAAACCUCUUCAGUGGUGCUUUUUGUUUUGUAGCUCCAUUACCGGUCUGUCAUUCAGCUCCAAAGGAACCAUAGUCAUUUCAAACAGAUGUCAGUCGCCUUACCGUUGCUGCCUGCUUGUUUAUAUCCGCUCAAGGCUGGUAGCCAUAAUAAGGGU